rnacentral:lncRNA from 10 species
UAUCCAAUAGUUAGUUAGCCAAUCCUUACCCCCUGUCUUUGCCUACCACUUCUAAUAGUCUCUAGUUUCUAUUGUUGCCAUUUUUAUGUCCAUGAGUAUCCCACUUAUAAGUGAGAAUAUGUGGUAUUUGGUUUUUCUAUUCUUGCAUUGAUUUGCUUUUUUUCUGGAUAUAUACCCAGUAAUGAGAUUGCUGUGUUGAAUAGUAGUUCUAAGUUUUUUAAGAAGUCUCCAAGAAUUUGGCUGUGAAUCUGUCUGGUCCAGUGCUUUCUUUGGU